AUCCAGAAUCACUGUUACCUAACGUAAGAGUUCGGCUUAUCAAUCAUGCAAAAUCAUGCAAAAUCACCAACAGUAAGAGUUCGGCUUAUCAAUCAUGCAAAAUCACCAACAGUAAGAGUUCGGCUUAUCAAUCAUGCAAAAUCACCGUCUCUGUGAAAGUUCAAGGAGUGAGGUACAAAAGAGCACAGGACAAAUCAAUUUACGUUUGUUUUGGAGAAGGUACAUACCAAUAUUUUGAUUUAUAACAUUGAUUAGAACAACACAUGAAAUCAAAAGCUUUGCUUCAGUUCUAAUAUACUGAGAUGUGCAAAUCGUUUUGCCUGUUGUGCAAUUUAUUAUCAAAUCCUGGUUCCCCCUAUUUGACAUUAGAUUGUUGUUUGAGCUGCUACGAUUUUUCUGUACUCCUUUAAUUUUAUCGUCAGUCUUAAUUACAAUAUUGACUUCAUGUCUGUUAUUGGGUAAACUUCUUCAAUUUCCGCUGCAAAGUGAAUAAUUUAUAUAUUGUUAGUCAUUUGAUGAUAUUAAUAUCUAUUUUGCUUUGUGAGCUUAAUAAUGCUCCUGUUGCUCUCAGAGGAUUUCGAUUUAGCGGGCAUCAGGAAAACUAUCAGCAAGUUUUCUGAUUGAUUGAACCAAAGUAUAGAAAUAGGCAAUUGAUAAUACUGGUUUCCUUUUGAGGAUAACGGUUUAGUCCUUUUUCUGAUAAGCUUUGCACUGUUAUUGAGCAAAACAAAAACCUUUCUUCUUUCUUUCUUUUGUUAAUUAAAGAUCAUUUAAUUCAAUUAUUUGUAUGUAUAUGAAAUUUUGUUUCACUUUGUAGUGUUUCCUGUAGCUUUUGAAUAGCUCCAAGAACCAAACUUUUUUGGCACUCUAAACCAGAUAGAGGAAACUAAAACAAAUAAAAAAGAUCUGGUUUUUAAUCUGAUUCGUCUUUGUUAUAUCUAAAGUGGAAAUUGUAUAUAAUCUAUUUCUGACAUUUAAUAUAAAAUUUUAGCUUUUAGUGAUCAGGGGUUUUGUGAAUUACCGAGCAAUGGUUAUGUUAACGAUGUAUACAACUGUGCAAGAUAUCAAGGCCUUGGAGAAUGAUACUCAAAUGAAAGUUCAACUGUGCAGGUAUAUUUCAGUAAUAAACUUGGAAACAAAGUGGCUCAUCGUUUAGCCAAAGAAGGCAUACACAUUAGGGACUCAGCCUUUUAGAAGGAAAGUAACCUCCCUUUUGGUUGAAAAUCUUAUCAGAGAAGAUAUAUCCAGUUGGUGUAGAGAAGGAAUAACCUAUUUAAGCAUUUUGUUUUGAGUUUUGACUAAGAGCUGUCAGUUGUGCUUCAGUUUUCAUUCUAAUGAAAGCAAUUCCAUGCAUUUUGAUCAAAAGAAAAAAAAAAUGUGCCUUUUUUAAAAACAACAAAAGAAUGUGUGGUGAGUAAAAUGGUUCUGAAUUUUGUAUAUUACGUUUGUUUUGUUUACAAUUGUUGUUGCUGUUUCUUUUAACUUUAUUUUUCUUUAGCUAUUGAAAAUUUCAUUUGUUGUUUUUUCUGUAGUUGGAGCUCAAAAGUUACAUAUAUUCAAGAAAUUGUGGAGACCAGCUUUUUUAAACUCACAGACAUUUAUCACUAUAAUCUAUAUGUUACUGCAUUAUCAUAUUGAAUCUGGACAUUAAUAGUUUAUAGUGAUCAACACGACCAUUGAAUCUGGGUUUUCUUUCUUCUUAGAUCCUUCUUAGCUGUGUGAUGUGCAGUUUCUUUUUCAUUUUGGGGAUUCAUUUGGCUGUACUGUCUACAAUUGGAACAAAAUUUUCUUUUCAAUUUCAAUUCAAUUCUCUUUUCCUGACUUCAUUUCUUGGAAAUAUCAAUUCUAUUUUAUAUACUUCUUCUGCUUAAUGAGCAGCAACAUGGUUGACGAACAAUACAAAUCAUUAAGUGAAACACUUAGAAGUAAUAUGUCCUUUCAAAUUAAAGUUUUUUAAUGCUUUAAACCUUUUGAGUGCUCUUAAAUCAGAAGUUAAUUAAGACAGAAUCAUACUGGUAGCUUUUAAAGUAAUAUUUAUUGAUAAUGCACAAAUUAGUAACUAUACUUGGACAUGGGCAUAUUUCCUUCCUUUCCACUUGGACAUGCGGACAUGCAUGUCUUUCCUUUACUUUAAUCUCUUUUCUUUUUCUUUUUUGGAGGUUAACUGAUGAAAAGACAUGAUCCAUUCUGGAUAUGCACUGAUUAUGUUCCAUGAAUGAGAUGCAUUGUUAGAUACUGUGAUGUUUUGUUUUCUGUCAUUACAAAUCUGUACUCUGAGCUCACUCUCUUCUGUCAACUCCCAGGUCUUCAUCUCCUACUUCUUAACUGGAAGAGAGGUAGAAACCCUAUGAUAAGAAACCUGAUCUGAAGAUCCUUUUCACUUUAUCACUGUAUAUAUAGACUUACGGUUGUAGAUUAUUCAUCGCUUUAAUUAAUUAUCAACUACUUUAGUUUCCCAUGCAUCUCAUUAUAGGUGUUAAGUUUAAAUUAGAUUCUUUCCUACUUCAAUUAUGUUGCUUGAAGCCUUAAACAUGUUGCUGGAAGUCAUCAAUCGUCUCUCUUUAGGUGCAUGCAUGUUUUGAUUUCUGCUCAAAUGUACUGAACUGUAUUACAAAGUGUUCAGUUCAAUUAUGAGUUUUCUUUAUUCCACAUGGUGAUGUGAUUGCUAAUUGAGAAUUUAAUGCAUUUUUAAUGGUUUGAUACUUCAAUCUAAAUUUCAGGCUCAGAAAUCAUUGAUGUUGAACAGCAGCAGAGGAGCAAUGGUGACAGCUUUUUCGAUAUUGAAGAGCUCCUGCAGAUUGGGACCAGAUGCAGAGGGGUGUGGUUUCUGCUUUUCAAAGUAAAAGAAAAAAUAUAUUGGUUAUGUUGUGCAUCAAAAUUAUGAAUAUGAACUGCAAUACGAUAGGAAUUAACUGAAUUAUAUCCAACCAAGCAGCUUAAGAAGGUAAUAGUUACAAAUUUGCCAAUACACUUCCUUUUUGUUGUGUUAGUCAAUGUAUUGGUUUGUUCAGUAUUAUGGCUUGAGAGAGAUUUUGGACCGUGAGUUCCUGAAACAAAAGGCUACUUGAAUUUUGUACCAUUCCACAGGAUUUCGAUUUGAUAUUGUCUUUUUCACACU